UACGAAGGGUGCUAGCGUUGUUCGGAAUCACUGGGCGUAAAGCGCGCGUAGGCGGCUUUACAAGUCAGAGGUGAAAUCCCAAGGCUCAACCUUGGAACUGCCUUUGAAACUGUAAAGCUAGAGUGUCGGAGGGGAUGGCGGAAUUCCUAAUGUAGAGGUGAAAUUCGUAGAUAUUAGGAGGAACACCGGUGGCGAAGGCGGCCAUCUGGACGACAACUGACGCUGAGGCGCGAAAGCGUGGGGAGCGAACAGG
rnacentral:rRNA from 1 species